rnacentral:rRNA from 1 species
UACAGAGGGGGCAAGCGUUGUUCGGAAUUACUGGGCGUAAAGGGCGCGUAGGCGGCCUUCUAAGUCGAACGUGAAAUCCCCGGGCUCAACCCGGGAACUGCGUCCGAGACUGGAAGGCUCGAAUCCGGGAGAGGGAUGCGGAAUUCCAGGUGUAGCGGUGAAAUGCGUAGAUAUCUGGAGGAACACCGGUGGCGAAGGCGGCAUCCUGGACCGGCAUUGACGCUGAGGCGCGAAAGCCAGGGGAGCAAACGGG